UGAUUGAAAGAUUAUGGAACAGGCAAGGAAAACAUCUUGUUUCGAUAGAGAACAGGGAAAAGUCAGGAGUAAUGAAGAGAUAACGAAAUGGUGCGUCCGAGUGGACUCGAACCACCGACCCCCACCA
rnacentral:antisense_RNA from 1 species